rnacentral:rRNA from 1 species
UACAGAGGGGGCAAGCGUUAUUCGGAAUUAUUGGGCGUAAAGGGCGCGUAGGCGGCUUUUCAAGUGACGGGUGAAAGCCCCCGGCUCAACUGGGGAGGGUCAUUCGAUACUGAUCGACUUGAAGGCAGGAGAGGGAAGUGGAAUUCCCGGUGUAGUGGUGAAAUGCGUAGAUAUCGGGAGGAACACCAGUGGCGAAGGCGACUUCCUGGCCUGUUCUUGACGCUGAGGCGCGAAAGCUAGGGGAGCAAACGGG